rnacentral:lncRNA from 1 species
UGGUGAUGAAAUAGAAUACCCAGAACUUAUACAAGCCAACAGAAACACACAAUUUCUUAAGUAGUAAAAGUACCGUUAAAAUAUUUAUAAUACUAUAUCUGAUAAUGAGGGAUGAUUUCUUGUUGAAUGAAGAGAUGAAAGAUGUAAUAUCCUUAAAAUUAAGAUUUUACACUAGUACAAAACGGACCUACGGUCAUUGUUUGUAAAAAAGGGUUGUCAUGGUUUUGGUUAUUUGCGUCACUAAAAAUUAUUAAUCAAAUUACAGUAUUGUUUUAGCAACAUGNAAAUUAUUAACAAAUUACAGUAUUGUUUUAGCAACAUGUUAGCUAAAAUCAGUCACCAUUGCAAACUAUUUUCAC